rnacentral:rRNA from 1 species
AUUGAACGCUGGCGGCAGGCCUAACACAUGCAAGUCGAACGAGGGGCGGACGGGUGAGUAAUGUGUGGGAAACUGCGCGAGGGAGGGGGAUAACCACUGGAAACGGUAGAUAACACCGCAUACCAGGGGAUGUGCCCAUAUGGGAUUAGCGAGUAGGUGGGGUAACGGCUCACCUAGGCGACGAUCCCUAGCUGGUCUGAGAGGAUGAACAGCCACACUGGAACUGAGACACGGUCCAUACUCCUACGGGAGGCAGCAGUGGGGAAUAUUGCACAAUGGGCGCAAGCCUGAUGCAGCCAUGCCGCGUGUAUGAAGAAGGCCUUAGGGUUGUAAAGUACUUUCAGCGGGGAGGCGUUACCCACAGAAGAAGCACCGGCUAACUCCGUGCCAGCAGCCGCGGUAAUAC